UGAGAGAGCCAGGUGUUCGCCGGAUGCAAUCGCAUCGGGAGGAAAGUCCGAGCUCACAAGGAUCACUGCGUGCUGGCUAACGGCCAGUGGGCGCGAGCCCGAGGAAAGUGCAACAGAGAAAGACCGUCCGACACGCGCGAGCGUUUUCGGGCUUAGGGUGAAACGGUGCGGUAAGAGCGCACCGCGUUGGCGGCGACGUCAACGGUCAGGCAAACCCCACGCAGAGCAAGAUCGAACAGAGAGACAGCGCGCUCAGCAAUGGGCCGCUCGGAGUCGUGAUCCACUUCGUGCGCUCUCGGGUACAGAUCGCUUGAGCCCGUCGGCAACGGCGGGCCUAGAUGAAUGAACAUCCGCUCCCACGGGGUGACCUUUGGGAGCAGACAGAACUCGGCUUAUCGGCCUCUCAACGU
rnacentral:RNase_P_RNA from 1 species